rnacentral:rRNA from 1 species
AACGAACGCUGGCGGCAUGCCUAACACAUGCAAGUCGAACGAGACCUUCGGGUCUAGUGGCGCACGGGUGCGUAACGCGUGGGAACCUGCCCUUAGGUUCGGAAUAACUCCCCGAAAGGGGUGCUAAUACCGGAUAAUGUCUUCGGACCAAAGAUUUAUUGCUUUUGGAUGGGCCCGCGUUGGAUUAGCCAGUUGGUAGUGUAAAAGCCUAUCAAGGCGACGAUCCAUAGCUGGUCUGAGAGGAUGAUCAGCCACACUGGGACUGAGACACGGCCCAGACUCCUACGGGAGGCAGCAGUGGGGAAUAUUGGACAAUGGGCGAAAGCCUGAUCCAGCAAUGCCGCGUGAGUGAUGAAGGCCUUAGGGUUGUAAAGCUCUUUUACCCGGGAUGAUAAUGACAGUACCGGGAGAAUAAGCACCGGCUAACUCCGUG